UCCCCGUUUCUCCUCCCUGAGCGGGUCGUCUUAACCUUGUUAAGGCUCUUUGCCCCCGGUUUUCCGGGGGCAUUUUUUAU
rnacentral:ncRNA from 1 species